rnacentral:rRNA from 1 species
GAGUUUGAUUAUGGCUCAGAUUGAACGCUGGCGGCAGGCUUAACACAUGCAAGUCGAACGAUGAUUACUAGCUUGCUAGUAUGAUUAGUGGCGAACGGGUGAGUAAUGCUUAGGAAUCUGCCUAUUAGUGGGGGACAACAUUCCGAAAGGAAUGCUAAUACCGCAUACGUCCUACGGGAGAAAGCAGGGGAUCGCAAGACCUUGCGCUAAUAGAUGAGCCUAAGUCGGAUUAGCUAGUUGGUGGGGUAAAGGCCUACCAAGGCGACGAUCUGUAGCUGGUCUGAGAGGAUGAUCAGCCACACUGGGACUGAGACACGGCCCAGACUCCUACGGGAGGCAGCAGUGGGGAAUAUUGGACAAUGGGCGAAAGCCUGAUCCAGCCAUGCCGCGUGUGUGAAGAAGGCCUUUUGG